AGAGUCCUUUCAGCAAAAUCUGGCAUAUGCAAUGGUGUCUGCGUUUGGAGGCUGAUUAUGGGAUAGAUCCCUGGGCGCCACAGUCUCUAGAUGGUCCAUCCUUUCGUCUCAGCUCCAAACUUUGUCUCUGUAACUCCUUCCAUGGGUGUUUGGUCCCAAUUCUAAGAAGGAGCAAAGUGACUACACUUUGGUCUUCGUUCUUCUUGAGUUUCAUGUGUUUUGCAACUUGUAUCUUGGGUAUUCUAAGUUUCUGGGCUAAUAUCCACUUAUCAGUGAAUACAUAUCAUGUGAGUUCUUUUGUGAUUGGGUUACCUCACUCAGGAUGAUACCCUCCAGGUCCAUCCAUUUGCCUAGGAAUUUCAUAAAUUCAUUCUUUUUAAUAGCUGAGUAGUAUUCCAUUGUGUAAAUAUACCACAUUUUCUGUAUCCAUUCCUCAACAUUCCUCUGUUGAGGGAUAUCUGGGUUCUUUCCAGCUUCUGGCUAUUAUAAAUAAGGCUGCUAUGAACAUAGUGGAGCAUGUGUCCUUAUUACCAUUUGGAACAUCUUCUGGAUAUAUGUCCAGGAGAGGUAUUGUGGGAUCCUUCAAUAGUACUAUGUCCAGUUUUCUGAGGAACUGCCAGACUGAUUUCCAGAGUGGUUGUACAAGCUUGCAAUUCCAUCAACAAUGGAGGAGUGUUCCUCUUUCUCCACAUCCUCGUCAGCAUCUGCUGUCACCUGAAUUUUUGACUUUAGCCAUUUUGACUGGUGUGAGAUGGAAUCUCAGGGUUGUUUUGAUUUGCAUUUCCCUGAUGAUUAAGGAUGCUGAACAUUUUUUCAGGUGCUUCUCAGCCAUUUGGUAUUCCUCAAGUGAGAAUUCUUUGUUUAGCUCUGAGCCCCAUUUUUUAAGGGGGUUAUUUGAUUUUCUGGAGUCCACCUUCUUGAGUUCUUUAUAUAUAUUGGAUAUUAGUCCCCUAUCUGAUUUAGGAUAGGUAAAGAUCCUUUCCCAAUCUGUUGGUGGCCUUGUUGUCUUAUUGACAGUGUCUUUUCCCUUACAGAAGCUUUGCAAUUUUAUGAGGUCCCAUUUGUCAAUUCUCAAUCUUACAGCACAAGCCCUUGCUGUUCUAUUCAGGAAUUUUUCCCCUGUGCCCAUAUCUUCGAGGCUUUUCCCCACUUUCUCCUCUAUAAGUUUCAGUGUCUCUGGUUUUAUGUGGAGUUCCUUGAUCCACUUAGAUUUGACCUUAGUACAAGGAGGUAAGUAUGGAUCAAUUCGCAUUCACUUGAUCUUUGACAAGGGAGCUAAAACCAGCCAGUGGAAAAGACAGCAUUUUCAACAAGUGGUGCUGGCACAACUGGCGGUUAUCAUGUAAAAGAAUGUGAGUUGACCCCAGCAAUUCUAUAUCUGAAAGUGUAGGUUUAAAAAUAACUUACUCAGAAUAUAGAUAAAGAAAAACUGGGCUGGAGAGAUGGCUUAGUGGUUAAGAGCACUGAGUGCUCUUCCAGAGGUCCUGAGUUCAAUCCCCAGUAACCACAUGGUGGCUCACAACCAUCUGUUAUGGGAUCUGAUGCCCUCUUCUGGUGUGUCUGAAGACAGCUACAGGGUACUCAUAAAAUCAAUCAAUCAAUCAAUCAAUCAAUCAAUCUUAAAACAAAACAAAACUUUAAUCUCCAGACUGUUAAGUGCGUAUUUUUUGUGACAGAUUUCCCUCCUUACUUCCCACCAAGUACUCUUUGGGCUUUUCAUGACUUUUUUCUUUCUGUUCACCUGAAACCUCUCUAAACUAUUCGUCUCUGAUUCUCGUUGAUCUCACUGCUCAGAGAUCUUUUUAUUUGUCACUCAUAGGUCUGUAUUUCUAGCUUGGAGAUCUUAUCUCAGCUCUAGACCUGUGUAACCAGUCUCCUUAUUGGUACUUCUACUUGAAUCCGUAGUAAAACAAUAUAAAGACCGUAUGUAUUAGAUCGUAUAUGUUAGUUAUAUAUGUGGGUACCUGCUCUUGCACCCACUCCUAAGCCAGCUCUUGCUGCACCUUUUCCGUCUCACCACACGAAAGCUCAUUCUUGCUGCACUAAGAACAAGAAUUACCGCUCUAUACACAGCUUAUUGGCAAAGCUUUCGAAAUGUUAAUAUAUGCAGGGCUUAGCCAUUGCCUGUUACCUAAUCUUGCUUCUCUGGGCUAUUGUAGCUUCCUAACUGGAUUUACUCCUCCCCACUUGUUGCCCUCUAGUGUGUUCGUAACACAGAGGCCAAGAUGGUUCUUCGUUGAGUAAUUUCUCUGCUCAGAACUUGGCAGUCCUCACCAUUUCGUUCAGAAUGAAAAGGGCUUUGUACUAACAGGAAAGGUUCUCUGCCUCCUGGCUUCCUGGUUCCUUCCCGACUUUGUUACUGUUUGACCUCACCUACAUUAACAUGGACUACUGUUCUUUUCUAAUUGAAGUGUCAUCUGCUUGGACUUUUACCAUCCUCUGGUGGCUCUGCCUGGUUUUCCACUAGGCUAGCUGUCUCAUCUUUGAAAUUUGAAAUUUCCAGAGAUCUGUUUUGCUCAGUGAAGCUUGCCUUGACCAGUGUGCUUAAAAUGUUACCUUCAACUCAUUUUUUUUUCAUUCUCUGCACUGAACAAUGCCAGAUUUGUUUAUAUUCAACCUUUUGUGCUCCGUAUAGAUCCACACACCAAUAUGUUCCAUAAAAACAGAAUACCUCCUCUUUCCUUCAGUGCCAUACCACAGUUUCUAGGCCAUCACCUGGUAUGUCAUUAAGUACUCAAUUUGUGGGAUUGGUGAUAGAAUUUAUUUCAUUCCUAGAACUGUUAAGCUAUGGAUGGAGAAAUGCUGACAUGUUCAAAUAGCCUUUUCAUGUGACUUAAGAAAUAGUAAAGUGCUUGCACAAUCUGUAUACACUGUUAAGGUUAUAUUAAAAUCAACACAGAUAGGAAUCUUUCUGUUUUGAUUUUGUUUUGUGACUAUAGUUCUUAUCAUGUCUCUUUUCCCAGAAAAGUAGUUAGAAAAGUAGUGACAGCUGCAUCUCUUUUAUGAUGUUCUCCACAUGGAAAUUUCUCUGAAGAUUAUUAGUUAAAUGAGUAAAACAAAAGAAAGGUUACC
rnacentral:lncRNA from 1 species